UAGUCCACGCCGUAAACGAUGUCAACUAGCCGUUGGUUCUAUUUACAGAAUUAGUGGCGUAGCUAACGCGAUAAGUUGACCGCCUGGGGAGUACGGCCGCAAGGUUAAAACUCAAAGGAAUUGACGGGGGCUCGCACAAGUGGUGGGGCAUGCGGUUUAAUUCGAUGCUACGCGAAAAACCUUACCAACCCUUGACAUGGUGGUCGCGAGAGAUAGAGAUAACUCUCUUCAGUUAGGCUGGACCACACACAGGUGUUGCAUGGCUGUCGUCAGCUCGUGUCGUGAGAUGUUGGGUUAAGUCCCGCAACGAGCGAAACCCUCAUUCUCAUUUGCCAGCGGUUCGGCCGGGAACUAUGAGAAAACUGCCGGUGAUAAGCCGGAGGAAGGUGGGGAUAAUGUCAAGUCAUCAUGGCCCUUAUGGGUUGGGCUACACGCGUGCUACAAUGGUAUCUACAGAGGGAUGCAAUAUGGCAACAUGGAGCAAAUCCUCAAAGGAUAUCUUAGUUC
rnacentral:rRNA from 1 species